rnacentral:rRNA from 1 species
UGGGGAAUAUUGCACAAUGGGCGCAAGCCUGAUGCAGCCAUGCCGCGUGUGUGAAGAAGGCCUUCGGGUUGUAAAGCACUUUCAGCGAGGAGGAAGGUGGUGAGCUUAAUACGCUCAUCAAUUGACGUUACUCGCAGAAGAAGCACCGGCUAACUCCGUGCCAGCAGCCGCGGUAAUACGGAGGGUGCAAGCGUUAAUCGGAAUUACUGGGCGUAAAGCGCACGCAGGCGGUUUGUUAAGUCAGAUGUGAAAUCCCCGGGCUCAACCUGGGAACUGCAUUUGAAACUGGCAAGCUAGAGUCUCGUAGAGGGGGGUAGAAUUCCAGGUGUAGCGGUGAAAUGCGUAGAGAUCUGGAGGAAUACCGGUGGCGAAGGCGGCCCCCCUGGACGAAGACUGACGCUCAGGUGCGAAAGCGUGGGGCAGCAAACAGGAUUAGAUACCCUGGUAGUCCAGCGCUGUAAACGAUGUCGAUUUGGAGGUUGUGCCCUUGAGGCGUGGCUUCCGGAGCUAACGCGUUAAAGUCGACCGCCUGGGGAGUACGG